GGGGAAUCUUGCGCAAUGCGCGAAAGCGUGACGCAGCAACACCGCGUGAGGGAAGACGGCCUUAGGGUUGUAAACCUCUUUCAGAUGGGACGAAGGUUCGACGGUGAAUAGCCGAUCGGAUUGACGGUACCGUCAGAAGAAGCUCCGGCUAACUACGUGCCAGCAGCCGCGGUAAUACGUAGGGAGCGAGCGUUGUCCGGAAUUAUUGGGCGUAAAGAGCACGUAGGUGGAUUGAUCAGUCUGUCGUGAAAGUCAACGGCUCAACCGUUGAAUGCCGGUGGAUACUGUUGAUCUAGAGUACGGAAGAGGCGAGUGGAAUUCCUGGUGUAGCGGUGGAAUGCGCAGAUAUCAGGAGGAACACCAAUAGCGAAGGCAGCUCGCUGGGACGUUACUGACACUGAGGUGCGAAAGCGUGGGGAGCAAAC
rnacentral:rRNA from 1 species